CACUAGCGUAUAUGUCCUUUGCUGUGGUUAAAAAGCUCGUAGUUGAAUUUCUGACAUGGUGCGCCUGGCCCGGGACUUAGUCCUUGCGAGCCGGCUGUGCAUCGGUCAUCCUGCGCGAGAAUGAUUGUGCCCUUAAUUGGGUGGCAGUCAGGAUCACGCACGUUUACUUUGAAAAAAUUAGAGUGUUCAAAGCAGGCGAUAGCCUGAAUAGUCCAGCAUGGAAUAAUAAGAUAGGACUUCGGUUCUAUUUUGUUGGUUUCUAGGACUGAAGUAAUGAUUGAUAGGGAUAGUUGGGGGUGCUAGUAUUCAACGGCCAGAGGUGAAAUUCUUGGAUUCGUUGAAGACUAACUUAUGCGAAAGCGUUCACCAAGGAUGUCUUCUUUA
rnacentral:rRNA from 1 species